rnacentral:lncRNA from 1 species
GGUGGUAAUUUUCCUUACCACUUUUCUUGCUUACCUUCCUGAUUUCUCCUAGUGACUUCUGAUCUUUGUCCUAAAUUUUUCACUUUCAAGAUUUUCCUCACUCAAAUGCACAAGCACACAAAAAAUGAAUUAAGAUAGAAUGUGGAAAACAAAAACAAACACAGAAAUUCACAAGUAUGUACAACAAUUGGGAUAGUCCCCAUAAAUACCCAUCAGUAGGUGUUCAAUUUAUUCAUGCUUGGUAUUUUCUUCUUCUUCUUCUUUAUGCUAAAUUUCUUCAAAAAGUUGAUCGGACCAAGCAUAUGUUUCCAGGCAUCAAUCAUAGGAGCCUUAAUCUNCAAUUUCUCGAAGAUUUCCAUGAAGUACUUGAACCUAUUUUCCUUCCUAUGAUUUUUCUUUUUAUGAGGAAGGGGCUUUUCAUAUGACCUUUUCUUCUUUCCUCUCUUCCUCUUUUUCUUGAUUUUCUUCUCCCUUAACUUUCUCUUUUUCUUUUUCUUUUCUUUCUUUAUUUUCACAUUUUUCUUCUUUUUUUCUUUUCUUUCAACCACUGCUUUUCCUUUCUCAUCAUCCUUCUUACUCUCAUUCAACUUUUCUGUUUCCUCUAUCUUUUCUACAGCAACAACUUUCUCUGUUUUUAUUUCUUCUUCAUAUACCUCUAUCUCUUCUUCUUCUUCUUCUAUCUUUUCUUCCUCGACAACCUUAUCAUUUUUAGAGAUAGUGGUUUGGUAUUCUUCUUUAGGGUUAACUUCAGUAUUAUCCCUAAUAAUGCCCAGAGACUUCAAUACCUUUGUUAUCUCAUCUUCCUCUAUCUUCUCUUCAUCAAUACCCUUGUCAUCCUCAAAGAUAGUGGCUUGGCAUUCUUCUUUACGGUUAACUUCAGUAUUAACCCUAAUAAUACCCAGAGACUUCAAUGCAUAAGAGUGUUGUUCAUGCAAUAAACGUUCUUUGGCUUCCCUCAACGUUUCUUUUCGUGAAGAGAAUAAUUUCUGUUGUAAACGUUGUUUAGCUUCCCCCAACGUUUCUUUUGGCCUAGAGGAAUAUUGCACAUUGUCAUGAUAUACGUUUGAAUGAGGUUUCCCC